GACCUGCAGGGCCCAGCCAACAAGACACUUGCUUAUUUUAGCAGCUGUUUCAGCUUUUGGACAUUUUGGAACAUCACGGGCUGCUGGUUGUUUUUCUUUAUUUCUUGCUCCCAGGGACAAAUAUUAGCAGACCAAAAAGCAAGAGAUUAACCAUUUAAGAAUGCGAGCAGGAGCUCAUUCAGCAGUUCUGCCUACUCUGAGCUGUGGAUCUCUGUGACUGCGACAAUUCAUCACUUUCCAAACCAGGCUGAGCCCUGCAGUGAUGUCUGUGCCUCUCUGUCACUGCCAUUGGGAGGAGCUGGGGACAAAGUGCACGCAGCAGCUGACCCUCCCCAUCGCGCCGGCUGGCACUGGAAUGGGUACUGUGCUGGAAGACUUGUUGUCUGGGUUGGUCUAUAUGUAUGGCUUUGGUGACUUGAAUACCUUUAGCAGUGCGGAGCAACAACCACGUUCAGGCUUUGAAUGUGACAAUGGAGAUCACAUGAGAGUGGCAGAGAAAGGC
rnacentral:lncRNA from 7 species